CUAUUUAUCUCCCUUACGCGCAAGGACAACACAUGUUUUGUUUUUUUUUUGUAAUCAAUGGCAAAUCCAAACCUUUUUCCAUCGUUAUUUGAAGUUCGUGAGAGAAAAAAAAUGUAUAAUGCCUUUUUCCUAAUUUGAUACCCCAUUUUUACUUCUGCACAUAUUCAUUCUAUUUAAAAAGAAGAAAACAACACGUGAUUCUCGCUGAUUAGUGACAAUUACGUUAAUCAAAAUCUUCAAAUAAUUUUCCCUGAUUUGGGCUGCUUCUGGAAUGAAUUUGGAAUAAGGUUGGGCCGAACACAACACGUGAGGUGACCUUCGUAGCAUUAAAAUUAUUUUGUUUUUUUACUCCUUCGAACACAACAAUUGGAGUAUUUUAUUUUGCUUUCUAACUAAUUUUACUUAAUUUCAUUAUUUUGAUGGGCUUUAAUGGAAUAAAAUAUCUUUUGUCAUUUUUGAUGAAUGCCAACCUAAAAUCUUAGAGCACCUCUAAUGGGAGGUUCUCUCAUAAUUUAGUUGGGUUCUCUUUUAUUUAAAUGAUUAAAAAUAAAUCAAAACAGAUAAUUAUUGAGAGAAUCGUUUUGGUGAUUGGGUGAGAGAUGUGAGAGAGCCACACACGUGGCAGAAGCUGAUUGGGUGAUUAUAUUUAACAAACAAAAACCCUCUCUCUCUUCAUUUCUUCAUUUCUUCGAGUUCCCAACUAUCUCUCUCUCGAUUUCUUGCAGAGCCAAAUUUUUUCCGAUUUGGUUGAGUGGGGAGUGUAAAAACGUGUGAAAUUUUGGUGUGUCUGAGUUCGUGACGCCGGAUUCAUCAUCUCCAGAGCCGCUUCUCACCAUCGGCGGCCGUAGGUUAUCCUAAUGGGAGAUUUGGGAUGCGAAUCGGAGAGAAGACGUUCUGGAUUUUGGGAUAAAGGAAUCAAUUUGUUUACCUGAUGCAACAUCGAGGAUAUGUACCGAAUUGUUAUACAAUGGUAGCCCUAACGACUGGUUUGAUUGAUCCGAGUUUGUUACUCACUGCUUGGUCUGUUCAUGGAUUUUGUUUGAAAAUCAAUCUUGAUUCUCAUUCUUAUGUUCGUUGUGGUUUAGUGAACAUGUACUCGAGAUGCAGGUGCAUAGCUUCUGCUUAUAGUGUGUAUAAUAGCAUAUGUGAGCCUGAUUUAGUAAUUGUCAUUGUUUCAGUUUAAGUAUAUGUCAUUGUUUCAGUUUAGAGCAGCUUGUUGAGGUUUGGUAAGCUUGUUGAGGUUUGGUAACAAGGAUGAAGCAGAGUGGCUAAGAAGCUGUUAUCUGAAGCCUCAAGAAUAUGCAGAACAUAAAGAUCUUUCAAACACUUGAUCAACCAAGCCAAGAACUCUCAUCCAUUUGGGCUUUGAUGCCAUCACUGCUAUCACCAAAGACUGAGCAGCCUCUAUCCAAUCUGCCUAAGUUACUCAAAGAUGGUAAUAACAAACAAAAGAAAGGAUCUCAGUUUGCCAAGUUUAUUGCAGAGACCAAAGACAAGUUUGUAAACCCGACCAAGCUUGCCCGAGAUGUGAUCUCUAGCAAGUUAUAUGAGAAAAUUGGCUACUUUGCAUAGUUUGUGCCUUCUUUUAUCCUUUUUCCUGGAGUUUCAACUUUAAAUUUGUAUAGAUAGAGAGAUUACAAUGUGUUGUUGUUUUUGGAUUCUUCGGCGUGUAAAUUUGUUUUCUUUUAUGUGUUCUUUCAUACAUGUUUAUGUGUUUUUUGCUAUACACUUUGCUUUAUAUAUGUGUUCUUUUAUGUUCA